GCGUGAGCCACCAUGCCUAGCCUAAUUUUUUUGUUUUUUAUUUUGUGUUGAGAAAGACAGGGUCUCACUCUAUUGCCCAGGCUAAGGUGCAGCAGCAUGAUCAUCACUCACUGCAGCCUCGACCUCCUGAGCUCAAGUGAUCCUCCCACCUCAGCCUCCCAAAGGGCUGGGAUCACAGGCAUCACCCACGGCUCCAGGCUGCCUUCCCAUCUUCCACAAGCAUCAUUGAAUGAUGUCUUCUUUUUCUCUAACAGGGAGUUGCUGCUGGCGUGGAGUAAGCGGGAGCCAGGGAGGCUGGUCAACACCUGCGUGCACAGGACAGACCCACAGCAAAGAAUCUUCCACCCACGGGCUGGGGUUGGGGCACCUGUUCCGGGGAAGCCCAAGUCCCUCUGUGACAGCCUUUCCCUCAUGCUCAGACAACAGCAAGAAGCCAAUUAAGAGCUGCCAAGGUUGAGUUUCUUUUGGGUGCCAGUCACUGGGUCAGGUAUUCCACAUUCCUCCAUUAGACUCUUCCAAAGGGCCUGGCGAGACAGCCAAUACGGUUCGGCUGUGUCCCCACCCAAAUCCCAUCUUGAGUUGUAGCUCCCGUAAUUUCCCCAUGUUGUGGGAGGGACCCUGUGGGAGGUAAUUGAAUCACGGAGGUGGUUUCCCCCACACUGUUCUCGUGGUAGUGAAUAAAUCUCACGAGAUCUGAUGGUUUUAUCAGGGGAAACCCCCUUGGGCCUGACUCUCAUUCUGUCUCUUGUCUGCCACCACGUGAGAUGCGCCUUCUGCCUUCCGCCAUGAUUGUGAGGCCUCCCCAGACACGUGAAACUGGCCUCUUCCCCUUGGAAGCAAGAGCACCAUGUGGUAAGGACAUUCAUGCCAUCUGUAGACCCUCCUUGUCAGGUCCCAGCCUGUAGCCGGCAUUAAGCAGGAAGGCUGAGGCGGGAAGCCGGUGAGAUGCACCAGCCCCAGCCGUGUCGUCUGCACCUGCAGGACAGAAGCCCCCGGGUAAGAUCCCUCUGCUCACCCAGUCAAGCCGGAACCGUGAGAGGUCAUGGCGAAUGGCCACUGUAAAUAACCCUCAGGAUGACAAAUGCUGAUUUGCACUUGGAGUCAGGACUCCUGGAGAGUCCACCCUCUUCUCCCUAUGCUGGUGGUUCCCCAGCCCGGGAAUGUCACACUGCACCAACCCAACCUGGGAAGCUCUGUCCCUGACUGUAAUGUCUGAGCCAAAAGUCAGGACGCAUGAUCUGGUGUGAGUUUGUUGUGGCACGACUCAGUGAAAGAAAUGCCAUCUGGGAACUGCGAUAGGACAUGGGUUGGAAUCCCUGGGACAUGUAUUGGCUUUUUUUUUUUUGUUUUUUUAAAGGAAAGUUCGGCCGGGCGCGG
rnacentral:lncRNA from 1 species